rnacentral:rRNA from 1 species
GAUGAACGCUGGCGGCGUGCCUAACACAUGCAAGUCGAGCGAACAGACGAGGAGCUUUCUCCCCUGACGUUAGCGGCUGACGGGUGAGUAACACGUGGAUAACCUACCUCUAAGACUGGGAUAAUUACGGGAAACCGGAUCUAAUACCGGAUAAUAUAUUGAACCGCAUGGUGCAAGAGUGAAAGACGGUUUUGCUGUCACUAAUAGCCGAAUCCGGGCCGGAUUAGUUAGUUGGUAAGGUAACGGCUUAGCAAGGCGACGAUGCGUAGCCGACCUGAGAGGGUGAUCGGCCAGACUGGAACUGAGACACGGUCCAGACUCCGACGGGAGGCAGCAGUAGGGAAUCUUCCGCAAUGGGCGAAAGCCUGACGUAGCAACGCCGCGUGAGUGAUGAAGGUCUUCGGAUCGUAAAGCUCUGUUGUUAGGGAAGAACAAAUGUGUAAGUAACCAUGCACGUCUUGACGGUACCUAAAGAGUAAGCCACGGCUAACUACGUG